AAACAUUGAAAUGCGCAUGCUCAGAGUGUUUCUCUGUUGAAGUGGACGGAGAUUAUUUUACUUCCUGGUGGGGCUAGCCCCACCGGGACCGCCAUGGACAUAUAUGGUUCGUUCCACUAUGGCAUCAUCUCGUCUUUCACAGUUAAUUGGCUGUAGGGUGAGGUACGUGAUGAGUCAUGACUCGAGUAACCUCCGACCUCACAACGUGCCGCGCGAAAGAAGUCCGGUAGCGAAGAAGAGAAGGAGAAGGAUAACUUUGCUAACAAACAUGCCGGAGGCACACAAACGAAUACGAAUCGACAACAUGAAUGUGGUAGAUCAUCUAUUGGAGCACAGAUUUGAGACCCUUAUUCUGGAGGAAAAUUUUGAGUGCCUGCUGUCCUGGCAGGUCCUUGUGGGUGGAGGGCUGAAUGGAGAAUGGGAAACACCAAGCCAGGGCUACAAACAGCAUGGUGGGACACUUGACUAAGAUAGCCGGGAGCAGGCGGAGUCAACGUCUACAAAGAUCGCCACGACUGUGAAAAUAAACAGAUGACGUCACGAACACUGAUGUGCAGAAGAUUGUGGAGUCACACUCAGCAACACCACAGUCCAGGCUGAGAAAGGGGUACAAGUUCUUUGUGGAUGAGUUCGUACACAAUUAUCAAGGUAAGUGGUCUAAGGUGUUUUGUUGUUGUCAGUAGGCUACUCAAUGGCCUUGCUCAUUCAUGUUUUGUGAUGACAAGCAAACCAUAUACGAUCCAUAUAAAUCGUCAGAAAUAUUGUCUGUGUGUAAAAUGAUCAUAUUUGUUAUGUGUAGACUAUAAUAUUAUGAAUAUAAUUUAGGGAUGCACCGAAAUGAAAGUUCUUGGCCAAAACCGAAACCGAAUAUACUGAAACAGUUGGCCGAAGGCCGAAACCGAGUACUGAAUGUGUCUUUUUUUUCCACCAUUGCAUAAAUCAAACAAUUAAAUGUCCUUUAUAAACUUUUUUAUAUUGCUUUUCUAUAAAAAAAAUCUAUUACAAAUUUGAUAUAAAAUAUUUAUUUAAUACUGAACGUUUUCUAACCUUCCAGCAGACAUUAUAGCAAGAAUUUAAGAACAAUGUACCUUUGAUUAAGUGAGUAAAUCUUUUUUUUUUUUUUUUUUAAUAAAUAAAUCAAAUGUUCAGUGUAUUAUGUUCGGCCUUUAUUCACUCCUUCGGCCGAAACCGAACAUUAUGUUUUGGGCCAUUUUCGGACGAACAUGUUCGGUGGCCGAAUAUUCGGUGCAUCCCUAAUAUAAUUAGCCAUGGUGGCUAUGAAGUCUCCGUGUGUAGCGUUAGCAUUUUAGCAUUAGGUUAACCAAGGAUAGGUUAAGCUAGUUAUUUGCUGACUCGUUUUUGUCCGAUCAGUGACAUAUUAUUAACAUUAUGUAUAUGCUCACUGUCAAAUAUAGUUGUUGGAAAGGUGGUAGUGAGAGGUAGAUGCAACCGCUCGAUGAGGAGGAAUGAGGAGCCCCACAUACUACAGGUUUCUGCUGAGUUAGGGCCCGUUGGCCCAAGUCUGUUUGUUUUGAUAGUCUGUCUGGACCAACAGCUGCAGUUGCAGUUUUCCUCUUCUUCUGAAGUUCAGGUCAUUUUCAUUGUUCUUUCUUACAAACAGUACAGUAGCGUGCUUAAGACUUGGCCCACCUAGCUUGCUGCAAUGUUGUGGCUGUACAGACCUAUGUAUUUUUCUUCCUCUUCAUUAAGGCACAAGCCGUAAAUAAAGGAAAUUUGUUCAGUGCAUUAAAAGGACAAACAUCUAGGCUAGUUCAUGUUAUAACAUUGCUAAAACAACAGAUGUAAUGGUGGCCCAAGAGUUUGUACAUGGCUUUUCUGCGGUCGCAGACUCCUUGCCAGUUUCCAAUGGCCUUAUAUCAAGGUCCUACCUACUAAGUUCAGUAACUAAAUUCUUAUUGUGUUCACAGAUCACCCUGGAGGCUGUUGGACAACUUGGUCUCUCAGAGCACAGCUGUAGCUGUGCUGCGGGCAAAGGCUUCUGUAGCCAUGUAACCGCUCUGCUCUUCCAGACAGCGCAUUAUGUGCAGCUGGGCCUUGAGGUGGUUCCACCUUCCCUGGUCCGUACCAGUCAACCACAGAUGUGGCAUCAACCUAGAACACAGGGAAUCCAUCCGGAGGCUGUGAGUGACAUUGUGGUGAAAAAACCCAAGUCAGUGGGGAAGAGUCAAGUACACACUCUACAGAGCGGCCCCUACCAGAACAACACAUCUUGGUGUCUGGAGCAAAGCUGAGUGAGAUUCACCCUCGCCCUUUGAUGUCCCAAAUCCUAGAGGGAAUAUCCAGCUUGGAGUUGGUUCCAUGUCAGCUGUGCUGACCUGGAAGAUGUCAGCAAUGACCUGUUCUUUAAGGCCAGUUGCUACUCCACAACAGUAGAUGACAAACUCAUCAAUGACUGGAAUCUUCCUUGAAGGGCUUGGUGUUGGAAUCGCCUCUUGUCCAAUCCUCUGUGCUUUGCUCCAAUAAACAAUGUAUUGUGUUGAGGGGCAAACAGACUCCCAAAACACUUGAAACACUUGAGAUGGAAACCGAGUGUAAUAUCAUCGUCUGAUCAGACACACAAAAUCUGUUGAGGACAGUUUGUGGCCCCAUGGAAAUUUCUUGCAGCCUUGCCUCCAGCUCAGCAAUAUACUCAAGGGCAUCAUCCAGUGCACCUACAAAAAAUUAAGACAAAUCCGUCUUCAUUACCAUUCAUUAGUAUUCACACUUUAUUUUUUAUUGUAUUGUUAUUCGGUAUACUUAACCGUCUAUUUAUUAUUUAUUUAUUUGUACUGUUUUCUGUUUUUCUUUUUUAUAUAUUAACAAUAAGUUAAAUGUUGUGUGUUGUACAUAGAGAGCAAAAACCAAAGUCAAAUUCCUCGUUUGUUCGCAAACCUGGCCAAUAAAGCUGAAUCUGAAUCUGAAUUAAUAUGCAACCCCAGUUUAACAGUAUGUCUGAUGUUGAUUGAAUGUUUUAACGUUAACCAUGCCAUGUUUGGCAAAAGUAUACAAUAGCCCAACAAGUGUUGAACACAAAUAACAGACACGUUCGAGUACCUGUUUGGGGUGCCCCCUUCUUGGUGGCCGUGUGAGCGGGGACUCGAACCUGAGUCUACAGAGUGUUAGCCAACACUCUUACCGCUGCAUCACCAAGACGCCGACUAGAACAUUCCCGGAAGAUCUACUUGACUUUACAAUUCAGCAGACUUAGAAAUAAUAACUCAAUUUAACACAAUGCCAUUGACAUUCCCAGGACCUAAGCCCCAGUCUCCGGAUUGAAAAUCACAAGCUCUCCCUGCAGCACCAGACACAGUGUCGUCACUAGGCUGUUUUAUUCGGGGCUAAAGCCCCGGAUCUAAUUUGAU